rnacentral:misc_RNA from 1 species
GUUGCUACGGGGAGGGUGUUACAGAAUAUUAGACAAGUAUAUAUAAAGAAGACAAGAGGAAUUAAAAGACAUUAAAAUUGAUCAUCUUCUUCCCUUAGACUUCAUUUGGCCGAACCCCAUGGAAAGAGAGCUUCCACCAUUUUCUUCACAACAAGCUUGAAAUUCUCAUGCUUUUCACCCCAAAAUCCUUAGGUCCCUUCACUAAAAAUUUAUCCUACACCUUGAAGAAGCCUUUGGCAGCCAAGAAAGUGUAGAAAUUGGAAGUUUUACAAGAUUAAACUUGGGUCACAAGAGGUUAGUGCACU